rnacentral:rRNA from 1 species
UACAGAGGUCCCAAGCGUUGUUCGGAUUCACUGGGCGUAAAGGGUGCGUAGGCGGUCGGGUAAGUCUGAUGUGAAAUCUCACAGCUUAACUGUGAAACUGCAUUGGAUACUAUCCGGCUAGAGGAAUGGAGGGGAGACUGGAAUACUUGGUGUAGCAGUGAAAUGCGUAGAUAUCAAGUGGAACACCAGUGGCGAAGGCGAGUCUCUGGACAUUUCCUGACGCUGAGGCACGAAAGCCGGGGGAGCAAACGGG